rnacentral:rRNA from 1 species
GACGAACGCUGGCGGCGUGCUUAACACAUGCAAGUCGAACGGUAAGGCCCUUUCGGGGGUACACGAGUGGCGAACGGGUGAGUAACACGUGGGUGAUCUGCCCUGCACUUUGGGAUAAGCCUGGGAAACUGGGUCUAAUACCGGAUAGGACUACGCGAUGCAUGUCGUGUGGUGGAAAGCUUUUGCGGUGUGGGAUGGGCCCGCGGCCUAUCAGCUUGUUGGUGGGGUGAUGGCCUACCAAGGCGACGACGGGUAGCCGGCCUGAGAGGGUGUCCGGCCACACUGGGACUGAGAUACGGCCCAGACUCCUACGGGAGGCAGCAGUGGGGAAUAUUGCACAAUGGGCGCAAGCCUGAUGCAGCGACGCCGCGUGGGGGAUGACGGCCUUCGGGUUGUAAACCCCUUUCAGCACAGACGAAGCGUAAGUGACGGUAUGUGCAGAAGAAGCGCCGGCCAACUACGUG